AUUGAACGCUGGCGGCAGGCUUAACACAUGCAAGUCGAGCGGAGAUGAGGUGCUUGCACCUUAUCUUAGCGGCGGACGGGUGAGUAAUGCUUAGGAAUCUGCCUAUUAGUGGGGGACAACAUUCCGACAGGAAUGCUAAUACCGCAUACGUCCUACGGGAGAAAGCAGGGGAUCUUCGGACCUUGCGCUAAUAGAUGAGCCUAAGUCGGAUUAGCGAGUUGGUGGGGUAAAGGCCUACCAAGGCGACGAUCUGUAGCGGGUCUGAGAGGAUGAUCCGCCACACUGGGACUGAGACACGGCCCAGACUCCUACGGGAGGCAGCAGUGGGGAAUAUUGGACAAUGGGGGGAACCCUGAUCCAGCCAUGCCGCGUGUGUGAAGAAGGCCUUAUGGUUGUAAAGCACUUUAAGCGAGGAGGAGGCUACUGAGACUAAUACUCUUGGAUAGUGGACGUUACUCGCAGAAUAAGCACCGGCUAACUCUGUGCCAGCCGCCGCCGUAAUAC
rnacentral:rRNA from 1 species